CCAACACCUCCAAUCUCUCUCUUUUGACAAUUGCCCUAAUCUGAAGAAAGUGUGUUCGCAUGCCCAACACCUCACCUCCAUCCAGCGUCUCUCUUUUUGGAAUUGCCGUAAGAUGAAGGAUCUACCAGAAAUGUUGUUGCCUUCACUCUUGAGAUUAGACAUCUGGGGUAAUUGCCCAGGUCUGAAAGAAAGAUGCAGUAAAAAGGGGAGUUACUGGCCCCUCAUCUCCCAUAUCCCCUGUCUCGACAUAUGAAGAGUUGAUGCUGCAGACUCGACUGUGACUGGAAGCAUUUUACAGUUUCUAUUACAGAUUUUCCAACCUUCACAGCAGGGAGCAAAACGUUAAAUUUGAUUGGAAGAUUAUAAUGUUGGCUUCCUUUUCCUAAUCUUCUUUUUUUUUCAAUAUCUAUUAGUGAUUCGUGAAUAAAAGAAUGAGUUGACUUAGAUUGUUGGUAAUGGGUUGUGUUUUGUUUGUAAUGGGUCUGAUCACAGAUUGUCUAUUGUAUGUAUACCUAUAGUGCUCUAUUAGUGAUCGUUGCAUCAUUGAUAUCAGUUGU
rnacentral:lncRNA from 1 species